GAUGAACGCUGGCGGCGUGCCUAAUACAUGCAAGUCGAGCGAACGGACGAGAAGCUUGCUUUUCUGAUGUUAGCGGCGGACGGGUGAGUAACACGUGGAUAACCUACUUAUAAUACUGGGAUAACUUCGGGAAACCGGAGCUAAUACCGGAUAAUAUUUUGAACCGCAUGGUUCAAAAGUGAAAGACGGUCUUGCUGUCACUUAUAGAUGGUUCCGCGCUGCAUUAGCUAGUUGGUAAGGUAACGGCUUACCAAGGCAACGAUGCAUAGCCGACCUGAGAGGGUGAUCGGCCACACUGGAACUGAGACACGGUCCAGACUCCUACGGGAGGCAGCAGUAGGGAAUCUUCCGCAAUGGGCGAAAGCCUGACGGAGCAACGCCGCGUGAGUGAUGAAGGUCUUCGGAUCGUAAAACUCUGUUAUUAGGGAAGAACAUAUGUGUAAGUAACUGUGCACAUCUUGACGGUACCUAAUCAGAAAGCCACGGCUAACUACGUG
rnacentral:rRNA from 1 species